rnacentral:rRNA from 1 species
GACAGAGGUGCCGAGCGUUAGGCGGAAUCACUGGGCUUAAAGCGUGUGUAGGCGGACUUCUAAGUACCUUGUGAAAUCCCACGGCUUAACCGUGGAACUGCUUGGUAUACUGGUUGUCUUGGGCCACUUAGGGGCUACCGGAACAAACGGUGGAGCGGUGAAAUGCGUAGAUAUCGUUUGGAACGCCAAUGGUGAAAACAGGUAGCUGGGAGUGUGCCGACGCUGAGACACGAAAGCCAGGGGAGCGAACGGGG